rnacentral:lncRNA from 1 species
AUUGGGACCUCUAUCACUUCCGAAUUCACUAUCCAAAUUUCUUUGGAAUACAAGACUGGAUUAACAUAUAUGAAAUGGCAUAUACCUGCAUUAUAUGAUGUAAUUUUGUUGUCCUGAUAAACAGAAGCUGCUGUGUUUGAGCUUGAUGCCAGAUGAGUGGACAAUAUCGACAUCAAUUGUAGAUAUUGAGUAGGAUUCAAACUCUGAAUUAAACUUCCAAUCCCAGGUUGUUGUGAAUUAUGCAUUUUAUCUUCAUUCGGUGCAGAUCUGGAGGAGAUCUGGAAAUUACUCAUUGAAUGAAGUAAGGAGUAAGGACUUGAAGGUUCAUCAAUGGCCGAUUUGUUCAUUGAUGACCUUGAAUCAAACCAAUUUCCGGAUUGUAAUAACUCUAUGUAGAG